ACCCGCUGAACUUAAGCAUAUCAAUAAGCGGAGGAAAAGAAACCAACAGGGAUUGCCUCAGUAACGGCGAGUGAAGCGGCAAAAGCUCAAAUUUGAAAUCGGCCACCAGGUCGAGUUGUAAUUUGUAGAUUGUAUCUUGAGAGCGGAUUAAAGUCUGUUGGAACACAGCGCCUUAGAGGGUGACAGCCCCGUAAAAUCUAUUCUCAUUGUAAGAUACUUUCGAAGAGUCGAGUUGUUUGGGAAUGCAGCUCUAAGUGGGAGGUAAAUUCCUUCUAAAGCUAAAUAUUGACGAGAGACCGAUAGCGAACAAGUACUGUGAAGGAAAGAUGAAAAGCACUUUGAAAAGAGAGUGAAAAAGUACGUGAAAUUGUUAAAAGGGAAGGGUAUUGAAUCAGACUUGGUGCUGUUGUUCAACUGUGUUUCGGCAUAGUGUACUCAGCAGUACUAGGCCAAGGUGGGGUGUUUGGGAGUGAAAAAGAAGUUGGAACGUAACUCUUCGGAGUGUUAUAGCCUACUUUCAUAGCUCCUCAGGCGCCUCAGGACUGCGCUUCGGCAAGGACCUUGGCAUAAUGAUUCUAUACCGCCCGUCUUGAAACACGGACCAAGGAG
rnacentral:rRNA from 1 species